rnacentral:tRNA from 1 species
AGGUGGUUAGUAUAGCUUAAAAUACUUGAUUUCGGCUCAAGAGUCUGUGGUGAAACUCCACAACCCCCUA